GGUAAAAUGGCCGAAUAGGUGAAGGGUUGUAGCCCCUUUUAUAAAGGUUAAAGUCCUUUUUUUAUCA
rnacentral:tRNA from 1 species